rnacentral:rRNA from 1 species
UACGUAGGGCGCAAGCGUUGUCCGGAAUCAUUGGGCGUAAAGAGCGUGUAGGCGGUCCGGUCAGUCGGUUGUGAAAGUCAAGGGCUCAACCCUUGAAUGCCGGCCGAUACUGCCGGGCUAGAGUCCGGAAGAGGUGAGUGGAAUUCCUGGUGUAGCGGUGAAAUGCGCAGAUAUCAGGAGGAACACCGAUGGCGAAGGCAGCUCACUGGGACGGUACUGACGCUGAGACGCGAAAGCGUGGGGAGCAAACAGG